rnacentral:lncRNA from 1 species
UAAGAAGUGCAGUGAUUUCGGAAUUUAGCCUAGCUGCCUUGUCUCUCAUACACAGAGGGAGAUAGAAGGUAGGCUAAAUUCCAAAUGAGGAAGCAUGUUUAGAAUUCUGUCUUAAUUGAUCAUUUAAGGACAAUCAUCUUAAUUGUUUAAUUACAUUAUUUAACUGUCUUAAACACAGGCAAGAGGCCCACCAGCAUAGAGAAAUAACAAACUGUAGUAAGAGUGGCUAGAGCAGAAGACCAAAAGCCCUGGGUUCUGGAGAAGCCAUUUAACACUGUUUGCUUGUCCUGAACUAGAAAUAAUAAAUACUUCAUUAUAUUCAAUCAUUGGAGAUCCUAAGACAAGCAACACUGUAUUAAUUAUAACAUUAUAUAUUAGCUUUGCAACAAAAACAACGGCAUGCUUUUCUAUGUGAAGCAAAGGUAAUUCAAUAUGCACUAUGUAGGAAUACCUUAGUGAACAUUAAUUGCAUAUGAAAAUGUCAAAGCAACUAAAAAGCAGUCAAUGCAAAUGUUCAUAAACAUUGUGGCUACUAAGUUAAAAACCAAGGUGUCAUAUUUACUUAGUCACUUAAUCUGAUCUUACAGAAGCAGCUUGAUUCAUUGUACAUGUACUGUUUGAGGGGAGAGGAGAAGUGUUUAAAAGAAUGUAAAAGUAAGCAGGAAGAUGGACACAAAUUUAAGGGAGGACUGGUGAGCAAUAGUCCUGUAGAGCUGGGGUCAGAAUCCCAGAGUGCACUUACUUUCAGAACAUUGGGAACCACCAGAGAGAUGUUGACAUAUGGCUGCACUGUUUUAGUGCACGAGACAUCGACUACAUGGGAGCAUAAUAAACAGGAGCAUAAAGACAGGUUUGUGCAAGCAGUUUGGAUUGACCUUUUUGGCAGCUGAAAUCCAUCUUGAGUACAUGGUGCUGAUGUGGACAGACAUGUAAACCUCAUCUUGUUACGGUAACUACCAGGUUUACAAAUAUAUUCCAAUGCUCAAAAUGUACAUCAUUCUAAAUAAAGUGAUUUUAAACAGGAGAGGGAUUUCA